UACGAAGGGUGCAAGCGUUACUCGGAAUUACUGGGCGUAAAGCGUGCGUAGGUGGUUCGUUAAGUCUGAUGUGAAAGCCCUGGGCUCAACCUGGGAAUGGCAUUGGAUACUGGCGGGCUAGAGUGCGGUUGAGGGCAGUGGAAUUCCCGGUGUAGCAGUGAAAUGCGUAGAGAUCGGGAGGAACAUCUGUGGCGAAGGCGACUGCCUGGACCAGCACUGACACUGAGGCACGAAAGCGUGGGGAGCAAACAGG
rnacentral:rRNA from 1 species